AUUUGACGAGCAUUAAAAAUAAAUGGUAUGGUGAAGUUUUAAUGAUUUAAAAACAUUUAAAAUUGCAUCCAGCCAGAGCCAGGGAGACGAUCUGUACUUGGAAAGCUUUUGUUCAUUUGAGCUUGGAUCAAAGACGGCGGCAUCUUGGUUUUUUGGCUCACUUUCUGUGAGAAGUUUUAACUUUAGGGAUGAAGUGAGAGCUAAACCAGGAAUAGAUCAUUACAAGUACGACGGUUUCCGUGUAGCAAAUGAAAACACACAUUGAGGUAAGACAGCUUGGUUUAUUGUACUGCACUGAAAUGUUUAAUUUGUACAUUUUACUU